GUCAUGUGUAGCAGCAUGAGAGAUCCAUUGUGAAUGUUUCCAUAAAGUGUACCCUGACACCUUUGUUUGCUCAUUGUGACGCGUUUCUGCCCCUUCCAUCAUCACCAGGGGAACCCAGUGCAUCUGUAGGGAUGGGGUUGGUUUAUUAUUGCGAUGGGCCCAUAGUUCUUAAAGCUGGUCCUCAGAAUUUUCCUCCAAUUACUUUUUGGUAGGAAUCUGGCAUUUUGUAGACCGCUUGUAAGCAUUCAGGCUUUGCCCAAAAUCUUUGUGAAGGAUUAAUUUUUUUGGGACAAGAGGAAGUUCUCCAUGUCCAGGAUCAGCAAAACAGCCCUCUACCUAAACUAAGGAGGACUACACGCUAACUAGGAAGUGUGUUCUAAGAUACCAAGAGAGGCUCAUAUACCUCAGAAGUGCAUUUGGACAGAGAGGUGGGGCCUUUUUUUAUGGAGAGGUUGGAGAAGAAGAGUAAACUGGGAGCUUAGAUACCUAGGGCAGUCCCUAAGUAUCUCUAAGGAUUCCAAGCUGCUGAAGGUGAGGAAUGUCCUUAUUUCAUUACACGACCCUGGAGACCUCAGAGGUCGCAGAUGCUUAUGGAGCCACUUUUUAUGGUAAUUUUGGACUCUGGCCUCAAACUCUCGGAGGUAGGACCCAUGUGGGUAUGGAAGCUUUCUUUUGUUGGAAAGAGAGGCAGUGAUGUGUGUUUUGCUUUCUGUCCCAUGAGUGUCAUUCUGCCUUCAUAGAGGAGGUGACCCUUGAGUUGCACCUUCAAGGAAAAGGUUUCCAAGGAGAGAAUGUGUAGGGCACCUGGCAGGGGUCUAGUAUGUGCACAGACAGAGGACAGAUUGAAUCCUGGUUCACUCUUCUGUGUUGGACACCAAGGCUGGCUGUGAUCAGUGAAUUGGGGUAUCCCCAACAUUCUCUUUCUGCUCUGAGGGGUUCCUGUUAGGCUGCAGUUCUCACCUGCUCUGGCAGGCUGUCCUCUGCUGCGGGUUCUCCCCUUCUAGGAGGUCCCCAACCCCCGUGUUGCAGGCCUGGUGAGUUGCCUGACUCCCUCAUCACUAGCAGAAGUGACCUUAUUUUCAAGGUUGAGGACUGAAGUGAGUCCUGGAGCUUGUAAGAAAAAAAAAAAAAA